ACCCCAUAAAUAAAGUUUCAAACUUUUUCUAGAAA
rnacentral:tRNA from 2 species